rnacentral:piRNA from 1 species
UAGAAAGCAUCCUGUAGGUGUUAAGC